rnacentral:lncRNA from 1 species
UACCCAGUUAGGUCUCAACUACAAGCAACAGUAAUAGAGCAAUUAGUUCAGUGGAUAUGGAUUUACUGAAUAUCAGAAUUCUGUUUACCUGUUUUCAGUGGUUUCACAAACGUCAGGUGAGAUUGAGCCAAUCCAGCAAUGGGUUUAUUAAUUCUAUUGACUGUUUUUGAUGCUUUCUGAAGGGAAGAACCAGCUUUCCUGUUCUGCCCCAUUCUCUCUCGGGUUGUAUGUUUGAAGGCUGAUGGUCUCACGGUAGCAUGCGUUUUAUUGUCCACGCUAGAUGUAAGAGCUCUUUUUCUUUCCACUUCUUCCACAUGCACUGGGCCCAAAACUCUAUUUUUUUCCAUAUAUACUUCAUUUUUCC